GUUUCUGUGCGUGAGGCCUAGAGCCUGUGAGCAGGAAGGAGCCAGGGCCUCCAGAUGGCUGGCAUGGGGGCUGGGUGGGAGAAGACCCCCAGCCUGGCAGGGAGUGGAGGGUUUGGCAGGACAGAAAGCCACUCACAGAAGCAGAAGGGCACUGAGGCAACAUCACCCCAGAUAAGGCUGAUCAGACAUGGGAGAACCAAAGUGGAGGAGACCAGCGAGAGAUGGCCCUGCUUCCUGAGUGGAUACUGGAAAACCUCACUGUAUACCUACAUCUGCAUUCAGAAUUGGUCGCCCUUCGUGAAGAUGGUGCCAGAGUCUGUGAUACCCUGGAUGGACCCACUGAGGUCAGAGUCAACUAGGAAGAAACUGGCAGAUAUAGAGUUCACUAAAUUUAGGACAGUGGCCUUUCCCCCUAGUUUAUGAUCAUGAAUAGCUGCA
rnacentral:lncRNA from 1 species